UUUCAGGCUUUGCAUUUGAACUCCUAUGACUGGUUGCGGACUUGAAGGGAACGCCUUCCUGACAUCCAGGAAAAAGUUUUAUUGGACAGGCAGUAGAGAUCUACUGGAAACAGUGGAGAGGGAGGAGAUGAUAUGCAGCAUACGGCCCAGCCGGAUGGUUGCUGCUCCGUGUGGAACGUGUCCUAUCAGGUGUAACAUCUACCAAUGGUUGUACAUGACAGAGACCUCCUCCGCCUCUUUGCUGUCUUACUAGUCAAUCCUUCUGAUCAGGUCCUUUCCUAAAUAGUGAAAGGAUCAUGCCAGCCCACAUCAAACACCUGAUCAAGAGCUUGUGAACCUCACUGCUGCAGACACCUGUGUGAUAUUCCACUCUGACUGGAACCCUCAAAAUGACCUGCAGGCUCAAGCUCGGUUCGUCAUCGUUUUGGCCAGUCUAAGGCGGUGGAGGUGUACCGUCUGAUCACUAGAAACUAUGAGAGGGAAAUGCUGGAUAAAGCUAGUCUGAAGCUCGGGCUGGACCGUCCCGUCCUGCAGAGCAUGAGAGGCAACAACAACGGGCCGGUCCAGCAGUUCUCCAAGAAGGAGAUCGAGGACCUGCUGAGGAAAGGAGCCUACGCCGCCAUCAUGGACGAGAACGACGAAGGCAAUCGCUUCUGCUAGGAGGACAUCGACCAGAUCCUGCAGCGAAGAGCCACCAUCAUCACCAUCACCAGUUUGCUUCAAGCAGUGGCUGCACGAGAAAGACGUGGAGGACCAAGAAAUGCUGGCCAGAUUGGCAAAGACCGGAAGAUACAUAACAGAGAAGAUAAUGGAUAUUAA